rnacentral:misc_RNA from 1 species
UACGGAGGGUGCAAGCGUUGUCCGGAAUCAUUGGGUGUAAAGGGUGCGUAGGCGGAAGCCUAAGUCGGAGGUGAAAUCUUGCCGCUUAACGGUAAAAUGGCCUUCGAUACUGGGUUUCUUGAGUUCGGAAGAGGUUAGUGGAAUUCGUGGUGUAGCGGUGAAAUGCAUAGAUAUCACGAAGAACACCAGUGGCGAAGGCGACUGACUGGUCCGAUACUGACGCUGAGGCACGAGAGCGUGGGGAGCGAACAGG